UUGACCUCAAAUCAGGUAGGACUACCCGCUGAACUUAAGCAUAUCAAUAAGCGGAGGAAAAGAAACUAACAAGGAUUCCCCUAGUAACUGCGAGUGAAGCGGGAAAAGCUCAAAUUUAAAAUCUGGCGGUCUCUGGCCGUCCGAGUUGUAAUCUAGAGAAGUGUUAUCCGCGCUGGACCGUGUACAAGUCUCCUGGAAUGGAGCGUCAUAGAGGGUGAGAAUCCCCGUCUUUGACACGGACUGCCAGGGNCUUUGUGAUGCGCUCUCAAAGAGUCGAGUUGUUUGGGGAAUGCAGCUCAAAAUGGGUGGUAAAUUCCAUCUAAAGCUAAAUAUUGGCGAGAGACCGAUAGCGAACAAGUACCGUGAGGGAAAGAUGAAAAAGAACUUUGGAAAGAGAGUUAAACAGUACGUGAAAUUGCUGAAAGGGAA
rnacentral:rRNA from 1 species